GUCUAUGGCCAUGCCACCCUAAACGUGCCCAAUCUUGUCUGAUCUCAGAAGCUCAGCAGGGUCGAGCCUGGUUAGUAGUUAGAUAGGAGACCACUUAGGAAUAUCAGGUGCUGUAGGCA
rnacentral:rRNA from 1 species